GAAAUGCGAUACGUAGUGUGAAUUGCAGAAUUCCGUGAAUCAUCGAAUCUUUGAACGCAUCUUGCACUCUGUUUCGGCAGAGUAUGCCUGUUUGAGAAUCUAUAGACUUCUUUAUCCGUAAGGGUAAGAUUUGAGCUCUUCACAGUGUGAACUGCUUUAAAACUAUAGCCUGGUACUGUAAUGUUUAUGGUAAGGUGCCAAAGUGUAUGAAGGGUUCGCCCACGUCCUUUGAAGCUGAACCUAAUUACGGCGCUUGGUCCACUGUGGUCCUAGUAGCAAUACGAAGACCCGCUUAGCCUAGUCUCUAGGGACUAGUCUGAAACUUUGGUCUCAAAUCAGGUAGGAAGACCCGCUGAACUUAA
rnacentral:misc_RNA from 1 species